rnacentral:rRNA from 1 species
GGGCGUAAAGCGCGCGCAGGCGGUUUCUUAAGUCUGAUGUGAAAUCUUGCGGCUCAACCGCAAGCGGCCAUUGGAAACUGGGAGACUUGAGUGCAGAAGAGGAGAGUGGAAUUCCACGUGUAGCGGUGAAAUGCGUAGAGAUGUGGAGGAACACCAGUGGCGAAGGCGACUCUCUGGUCUGUAACUGACGCUGAGGCGCGAAAGCGUGGGGAGCGAACAGGAUUAGAUACCCUGGUAGUCCACGCCGUAAACGAUGAGUGCUAAGUGUUAGAGGGUUUCCGCCCUUUAGUGCUGCAGCUAACGCAUUAAGCACUCCGCCUGGGGAGUACGGCCGCAAGGCUGAAACUCAAAGGAAUUGACGGGGGCCCGCACAAGCGGUGGAGCAUGUGGUUUAAUUCGAAGCAACGCGAAGAACCUUACCAGGUCUUGACAUCCUCUUGACCUCCCUAGAGAUAGGGAUUUCCCUUCGGGGACAGGAGUGACAGGUGGUGCAUGGUUGUCGUCAGCUCGUGUCGUGAGAUGUUGGGUUAAGUCCCGCAACGAGCGCAACCCUUGACCUUAGUUGCCAGCAUUUAGUUGGGCACUCUAAGGUGACUGCCGGUGACAAACCGGAGGAAGGUGGGGAUGACGUCAAAUCAUCAUGCCCCUUAUGACCUGGGCUACACACGUGCUACAAUGGAUGGUACAAAGGGCUGCAAGACCGCGAGGUUUAGCCAAUCCCAUAAAACCAUUCUCAGUUCGGAUUGUAGGCUGCAACUCGCCUACAUGAAGCCGGAAUCGCUAGUAAUCGCGGAUCAGCA